UAGUCAUAUGCUUGUCUCAAAGACUAAGCCAUGCAUGUCUAAGUAUAAACUACUUUAUACGGUGAAACUGCGAAUGGCUCAUUAAAACAGUUAUAGUUUAUUUGAUAGUACCUUACUACUUGGAUAACCGUAGUAAUUCUAGAGCUAAUACAUGCGCAAAAACCCGACUUUUCGGAAGGGUUGUAUUUAUUAGAUACAAAACCAAUACGGCGCAAGCCGUUUUGUGGUGAUUCAUAAUAACUGAUCGAAUCGCAGUGCCUUCGGGCGGCGAUGAAUC
rnacentral:rRNA from 1 species